AGAGAGAGAGAGAGAGAGAGAGAGAGAGAGAGAGAGAGAGAGAGAGAGUUCACCUCGUGUUUCUCAAACACGUUGCCCUCGUGUUUCUGCAAGAUACAUUCAGCUUCGUCCAUGACAUUAGGAAACGUUCCAAUCGAUAACCUCCUCUCAUUGCUAUCGAUCCUCUCACUCUCUACCUUUCGCGCAACCUCCUUGCAUCGUUCAUGGUCAAAAACGAGAUUACUUUUUUUUUUUGUAUGUUCAAUGACAAUAUAAAACUUUCAUUAAGCUGACGUAGUAACUCAGUAGAAAUUUUCUUAGCUAAAUAAUUAAACGUAGAUAAAAUAGGCGACGAGAACUUUUAAAUGUAUGUCUUACAAGACAAUCACUUUUGUAAUUUACUAAUACAAUAUGAUCCUAGAUAACUGAUACGAUAGAAUACAUUGUCUUUGAAUUAUUUUUGUUGUUAGAGACAUUAUAAACAAGAAACAGUACGAAAUGUUGAACUAGGACAAGCUUAUGACCCUGGUAGCUCGUCGUAGUCGUGUUAUAUACCGUCCAUAGGCGUAAACUAUAGUCUCUCUAGCAAACUGAAAGGAAAUCAGUGCGUCUAUUCAUAGUCGGAUGAGCGUUUGUUAAGUCCACCGUGACAAAGAGGCCACGUAUGUAUGUUGUAUAUAUAUAUGUAUGUAUGUAUCUAUGUACACGUCAAACGUCAUGCUUUUUUCGUUCCUUCGAUGAUAAGAAAAACCGUCAUAUGGCUUUCCAAGAACGUAUAUAACUAAAUCGAUUGAAUCUUCUUGACUAUAUCUUUUUUUAUUUCUAUCUAUACCUUAGCCUAUAGAUAACCAAGUUUGUCGUGUCAAAGGACUCUCCUCGUUUUAUCACCGUUGAUCUACGACCUAAUUUUAUUAUAAUUUCUAUUAUAGUCUUUAAUUGAUCUUAAUGGUAUUUCUUUCUUCUUCUUCUUCUUCCUUUUGUUUAUUUUCUUUCAGAGUGCACGAUACCAUCAAACUUUUUGUGAAUUGCUCCUAGAUGGUGCUUCGAGUCGAGGAUUCGAUUUGUGUCACAAAAUGGCCGCUUCAUUAAACCCGGCCUCUCAGGCAAGAUCGUUCAUUUGAUCUUUCAAGAUUACGAUGGUUUUCUUUAAAGUAUUUCAAUUAUAUCGAAUCAAUCGACAAUAGCAUAAUUGCAAAUAACGAUAAAUAAUGAACGUUUACAUUUGCCGUUAACCUGAAUAAUAUUACAACUGUUGAUUCAAUUUCACCACUUAUUGUUAGAGUUAAUAAUAUUUAAAUGUGUCAGCUGUAUACUCCUUGUUAUCGCUGAAUAUCAAACAAAACAGCGUCAACUCAAGAGACCACUGAAAGUAACUCGAUAGACAGCGGUAUGAAUCAUAUACCGCGUCUGGCUUGCAUUACCAGAUAACGCGCGAUAACAAAUUAGUACAAAGAACCUCUCAUUUUUUUUCUUUUAUCGAGAAAACACUUCGAUCAAAUAAUCCUUUAUCUUUGUUUAUAACAAAAGAGAGAAAGAAAGAGAGAAAGAAAGAGAGAGAGAGAGAGAGAGAAAAAAAAUUCGCACAUCGACCGAUUAUAUGUAAAAGUAUACUAGAGAUAAACUAACAAUCGUUAUAUCGCUUAUGUUAGCAAGUUCGAACUGGAGUGAUUCUCAACUUUUAUUUCUUUGAGAUUGUUCAUAAUAUCUGAAACAUGAUGAUACGAUACGAACAUGGAAGAUACGAGAUUCGAUUAUUAUUAGUCUAAUGUUAAAAAAAGACUAUUGUAUUUUAUCGUGAGGUAAAAGUUUAAUAAAGGGCGAGAAAUCACGAGUAGAAAGAAUAACGACAAACUAUAACGACAGGGAGGAAAGCAAUCGUUCGGAUCUAACGAUCCCAUGGACCGUUCAUCCGGUGGAAGGGUCGAGAAUUACUCGAGACUAAAGUUUAGAAUCAUGGAUGUUUGAUGAUCGAUGGACGAAAAGAGAGAAAGAUAAAUAAAAAAAAA